AAAGACCAUGGCUCAAUCUGAAGCUCCUCCCUCCAUCCACUUUUUCAAAAUUAGCUUUGCUCCAUCGGUAAGGUCGAAGGAAAAUCGUGAGAAUGGUUCAAUGGUUUGAUCUGGUCUCACAAAGAAAUACAAAAAAGUCAACUGUAAAAGAACUAGAAGAGAAUCACAAUAGAACUGUAGGAAAUAUCCAAAAAAAGAAAAUAAAAUAAAACUGUAGUUGAGGUUGUUAUAUAUAGAGAGUAUGUGUAUAAAUAAGAGACCCUUGGAGGAGAGAUUGUAAGAUCCUAGAAUUUUCUUUAAACAUAUUUUCUCUCAAUAGAUCUAGUCAUACGAACCACUAUCUCCUAUUUUCUCUCAAUAUUCACCUCUUACUGGAUGUUAACCCACAAUUAGGAAGAGACUUAAAACAAUUCAUAAGGUCUGCUUAACAAAACCAUAUACACACCAUCUCUCUCAAAGAUCUUUGUAAUCACCAUUUUUAUUUCCUAUUUGUUUUGGGCCAUGCGUUUCAUUAUUCUAUCUCAACCUUGCCAUUUUAAAUUCAAUCAAAGCCACGACAAGCAUGUAGACCUUUGAGCAAACCAUAAACAGAUAACUCUAUUCUCCACAAUAAACUCUUGAACGAAUCCAUCUCACUCUUACACGUCUCCCUUAUUUUUCAAAGAGAUCACAAAGCCUUAUUUAACGUUUUCCACUCUCUUGUCCUCUUGGUGAGCUUCCACACAUGGGAUUAAGAGACUUGUUAGUGCGUUCGGUUCAGAAACAAUCUUAGGAAACAUGGAAAGCAUCUAAGGUACCAAAAGAGACUUGAUCUAUGCUUGAUGUUUUGCUUGAAGUGUGUCCGCGGGGAAAUAAAUAUGGGUUUUUAUUUGAAUUGUAAUUUGAAAUAGUUUUAAAGUUAGUAGUUUUGUAAUUAACUCAACUUGAAAUGUCAGGUUCGUAAUUAAAUUAGUCUAACUAUUUUUGUUAA